UGGCGGCAGGCCUAACACAUGCAAGUCGAGCGGAAACGAGUUAUCUGAACCUUCGGGGAACGAUAACGGCGUCGAGCGGCGGACGGGUGAGUAAUGCCUAGGAAAUUGCCCUGAUGUGGGGGAUAACCAUUGGAAACGAUGGCUAAUACCGCAUGAUGCCUACGGGCCAAAGAGGGGGACCUUCGGGCCUCUCGCGUCAGGAUAUGCCUAGGUGGGAUUAGCUAGUUGGUGAGGUAAGGGCUCACCAAGGCGACGAUCCCUAGCUGGUCUGAGAGGAUGAUCAGCCACACUGGAACUGAGACACGGUCCAGACUCCUACGGGAGGCAGCAGUGGGGAAUAUUGCACAAUGGGCGCAAGCCUGAUGCAGCCAUGCCGCGUGUGUGAAGAAGGCCUUCGGGUUGUAAAGCACUUUCAGUCGUGAGGAAGGUGGUGUCGUUAAUAGCUGCAUUAUUUGACGUUAGCGACAGAAGAAGCACCGGCUAACUC
rnacentral:rRNA from 1 species